GACGAACGCUGGCGGCGUGCUUAACACAUGCAAGUCGAACGCUGAAGCUCAGCUUUUGUUGGGUGGAUGAGUGGCGAACGGGUGAGUAACACGUGAGUAACCUGCCUCCUUCUUUGGGAUAACGCCCGGAAACGGGUGCUAAUACUGGAUAUUCACUGGUCUUCGCAUGGGGGUUGGUGGAAAGGGUUUUUCUGGUGGGGGAUGGGCUCGCGGCCUAUCAGCUUGUUGGUGGGGUGAUGGCCUACCAAGGCUUUGACGGGUAGCCGGCCUGAGAGGGUGACCGGUCAGAUUGGAACUGAGGUACGGCCCAGACUGAUACGGGAGGCAGCAGUGGGGAAUAUUGAACAAUGGGCGCAAGCCUGAUGCAGCGGCGCCGCGUGAGGGAUGGAGGCGUUCGAGUUGUGAACCUCUUUCGCUCAUGAUCAAGCCGCAACAAUGGUUGUGGUGAGGGUAGUGGGUAAAGAAGCGCCGGCUAACUACGUG
rnacentral:rRNA from 1 species